CGCACAUGAGUAGGGUAAAGAUUCUGUCACAGGUAUUUCUAGUAAAAGUCAGGGACAGGUCAUGGGCACAAAACAAACAUUCACAGAAGCUCGUGAUCUCUUCCUGGCUUUUACUAAAAAUA